rfam:Oryza barthii chromosome 11, whole genome shotgun sequence.
UUUAAACACAGUUAUGACUUUCCGUGUUCAAUUUUGAUAGUCCGUCGUAUUUGAAACUUUUUAUAAUUAAUAAUUUUAUUCUUAUUUGAUAAAUAGUAUUUUAUGCGUGAUUUAUGUUUUUAAUUUAAAAAUAUUUUUAAAUAAGAUGAAACAUUAAAAUUGGACAAUGGAUAGGUGUCGGUCGG